rnacentral:misc_RNA from 1 species
CGAGCCUGAAAGGGUGAGGACAAACCGGGCGAGCAACCUCUCAGUAUCAGAUCUUGCAGACUUCCACUGCGUGUCCCUCUGUACAGCUUUGCAGGCUCCGGCCUCGGCAGCGGGGGGUUCAUAGUGGUCGUCGACCUCCACGAAACUGCACGCUCCGGCGUGACAGCGUACUGGGGAUGCCUGUGUAGAUGCAGUCCGGGCUUGCCUGGACCGCUAGCAGAUGGGCUCUGUGGAUGACUGGCCGCUGGCUAGACCUGAAACCUGAGCAACGGGAGGUAACCUCUCGCCGCGGACACCGGAAUGGUAGAAGCGGCGUGCUGCGUCCUCCUCUUGGGGCCCCUAAGCCACACCUCCCACAGCGGGUUCGGUGCGGCGGACGGACGCCCUGGGGAAUUUAGAGGGGGAAAGCGGAUUGCCCUAGCGGUGUUGUUGGCCCUGCCGACCUCACUGCGAAAGGCGCGAC